rnacentral:rRNA from 1 species
ACUGAAUAGAUACCCUGGUAGUCCACGCUGUAAACGAUGAUUACUCGAUGUUGGCGAUACACAGUCAGCGUCUGAGCGAAAGCAAUAAGUAAUCCACCUGGGGAGUACGAUCGCAAGAUUGAAACUCAAAGGAAUUGACGGGGGCCCGCACAAGCGGAGGAGCAUGUGGUUUAAUUCGAUGAUACGCGAGGAACCUUACCUGGGCUCGAACGUAAGAUGACUGUAGGUGAAAGCUUACAUCUCUUCGGAGCAUUUACGUAGGUGCUGCAUGGUUGUCGUCAGCUCGUGCCGUGAGGUGUCGGGUUUAAGUCCCAUAACGAGCGCAACCCCUACCUUUAGUUGCCAACAGGUCAUGCUGGGGACUCUAAAGGAACUGCCUACGCAAGUAGUGAGGAAGGCGGGGAUGACGUCAAAUCAGCACGGCCCUUACGUCCAGGGCUACACACGUGCUACAAUGGCCGAUACAGAGGGCAGCUACCUGGUGACAGGAUGCAAAUCUCCAAAGUCGGUCUCAGUUC